CACGUAGUUAGCCGUGGCUUUCUCAUAAGGUACCGUCAAUUGAUAGUCAUUUCCUCCUAUCACCUUUCUUCCCUUAUAACAGAAUUUUACAACCCGAAGGCCUUCUUCAUUCACGCGGCGUUGCUCGGUCAGGCUUUCGCCCAUUGCCGAAGAUUCCCUACUGCUGCCCUCCCGUAGGAGUCUGGGCCGUGUCUCAGUCCCAGUGUGGCCGUUCACCCUCUCAGGUCGGCUACGCAUCGUCGCCUUGGUAGGCCUUUACCCCACCAACUAGCUAAUGCGCCGCAGGCUCAUCCAUCAGUGAUGCCAGAAGCAUCUUUAAACUUUCGUCCUAUCCGGUAUUAGCGAUCGUUUCCAAUCGUUGUCCCCGUCUGAUGGGCAGAUCACCUACGUGUUACUCACCCGUUCGCCGCUUCCCACCGAAGUGGUUCGCUCGACUUGCAUGUAUUAGGCACGCCGCCAGCGUUCAUCCUGAGCCAGGAUCAAACUCU
rnacentral:rRNA from 1 species